UACGGGGGGAGCAAGCGUUGUUCGGAUUUACUGGGCGUAAAGGGCGCGUAGGCGGUGUGUCAAGUCAGGCGUGAAAGCCCCGGGCUCAACCUGGGAACAGCGCUUGAGACUGGCACGCUCGAGUUCGGGAGAGGAUGGUGGAAUUCCCAGUGUAGAGGUGAAAUUCGUAGAUAUUGGGAAGAACACCGAUGGCGAAGGCAGCCAUCUGGACCGACACUGACGCUGAGGCGCGAAAGCGUGGGGAGCAAACAGG
rnacentral:rRNA from 1 species